CACUUGCACGUCACACUUCACUUGCAGACUUGCACUUGUUCGGUUGCUUCGCUGAGUUCGCGUCGUGUGAUCUUCAACCCUGCCGGCACGCUUCAGACAUCAUGCCGCCGACUUCGGUAGUACGUUAUUCUUGCCAUUCACUGCCCCUUUUCAAAGUUUUUAGCAUAUCAUCCGACUUUAAAUUCUCGCGUACGAACUUUCGGAGUGCGAUUAAGUAUAUCCUCGGAAUAUUUUGUCGCGUUUUCGUGUGACUGAACAAUCGUGAUGAACGCCCGCGUGUUCCCGCGCAAUUACGUGUAUCGGAUUUGUCCCUUCGGAAUUUGACUCCAAUUCUUAUGAAUUCUCGCCAUUAAAUUAGUAUGUGAAGUGUAAUUCAGUCAGAGCAUUAACGAUUCGUGAGUGAAAAUUUUCGCGAUCCGGUCGAGUGUUUUCAGGCUUCAACCAUGACAGUCUAGCGUGCUCGAGAACUUGGUCUGCUUUCAACUCUCUGAGAUGGUUUGAUUGGUUCUGGAAUCAAGUUUUUCAGUUUAGUCUCUGUGAUAGUGCUGCGCGUGUGAGUGCUUUCAGCUUGGCGUCGGGCAAUUGGAUAACCCUCUGCUGAAUUGAUAGCUGUGGGCCUCUCAUAAGAAUUGAUAGCUGUGGGCCU